UGUACUAGUGCCCGAAUCGCUUUUUGUGCUAGUGACGGGUGUAGCCACGGUCCGAGUAUAUUUGACUCGGUGAACGGUUACGAGUCCAGUCGGUUUUAAGUUGCCCGCAGAGAGGGGCGUCG
rnacentral:lncRNA from 1 species